rnacentral:hammerhead_ribozyme from 1 species
AUCCAGCUGACGAGUCUCAAGUAGGACGAAAUGCGCAUCCUGGAU